rnacentral:misc_RNA from 1 species
GGCUAAUCCAAGAUAAUACCGUAGUAUUACAUCUCUCCCAAGAAGAAUACAUAGUAUUGCUAAGGCUUGUUUUUGGAAGCUAGUGCCAUUUUCAUAGCUUUAGCCCAUGAAUGAUAAUUCAAACCAAAGAGACCUAGAGAAACCAAGACUAGAGAUGGAUUUUCACUUGGACGCAGCAAGUAAGGAUUAGAAUAAUUUUGUAGGUGAUCAUUGUUAUGAUUGGCAACCAUGAAAAUG